rnacentral:rRNA from 1 species
CCUACGGGAGGCAGCAGUGAGGAAUAUUGGUCAAUGGACGAGAGUCUGAACCAGCCAAGUAGCGUGAAGGAUGACUGCCCUAUGGGUUGUAAACUUCUUUUAUGUGGGAAUAAAAUGUUCCACGUGUGGGAGUUUGUAGGUACCAUAUGAAUAAGGAUCGGCUAACUCCGUGCCAGCAGCCGCGGUAAUACGGAGGAUCCGGGCGUUAUCCGGAUUUAUUGGGUUUAAAGGGAGCGUAGGGGGAUUGUUAAGUGAGUUGUGAAAUUUUGCGGCUCAACCGUAAAAGUGCGGUGGAAACUGGCAGUCUUGAGUGCAGUAGAGGUAGGCGGAAUUCGUGGUGUAGCGGUGAAAUGCUUAGAUAUCACGAAGAACUCCGAUUGCGAAGGCAGCUCACUGGACUGCAACUGACGCUGAGGCUCGAAAGUGUGGGUAUCGAACAGGAUUAGAUACCCGGGUAGUC